CAGUCGCCGCGGGAAUACGGAGGGUGCAAGCGUUAAUCGGAAUUACUGGGCGUAAAGCGCACGCAGGCGGUCUGUCAAGUCGGAUGUGAAAUCCCCGGGCUCAACCUGGGAACUGCAUUCGAAACUGGCAGGCUAGAGUCUUGUAGAGGGGGGUAGAAUUCCAGGUGUAGCUGUGAAAUGCGUAGAGAUCUGGAGGAAUACCGGUGGCGAAGGCGGCCCCCUGGACAAAGACUGACGCUCAGGUGCGAAAGCGUGGGGAGCAAACAGGAUUAGAUACCCCUGUAGUCCCUGUCUCUUAUAC
rnacentral:rRNA from 1 species